ACAAACUCUCAUGACCUUCGAUGCAGAUGCCUUGUGUUUUGGGAGCAUAGAUCAAGAGAUAUCUCUUGUUCAGAAAGUUUCCUAGGCCGGACGCAGUGGCUCACACCUGUAAUCUCAGCAUUCUGGGAGGCUGAGGUGGGCAGAUCGCCUGAGGUCAGGAGUUUGAGACCAGCCUGGCCAACAUGACGAAACCCCAUCUCUACUAAAAAUUACGCACUUUCCCUAGUUCAUUCAACAGUGGGAUUCCUGUGGAUUUAUGUUUUCUAGUUUUGUGGGGGAAAAUCAGAACUACUUUGCCAGAGGAAGUAAAAGUUCAGCUGAGACUUAAGGAGAUGGCAUUCAGCCACGUGAAGUGCAGUAAUCCAGCUGCUCAUAUCAUUGGCAAAUGAGCGUAUUGGAACAUGCAUUGCUGGCUGAUCAUUCUGAUUAAGUCAACAAGCUUGACAACUCACUCAAAUGAGGUCGUCCGGGAGAACUUCACUGAUUUUACGAGGACAGGAGCUACGUCUUUGCUGAACUGCAACACGUUUCAACUGCUGAGGUGUUCCUCAAACUUUUGCAUUGUUUGGAAUGUGAGCGGCACCGCCGAGACAAACUUUGGGGUUCCCACUGCAUUGCUAAAUUUCCCCCUUCACUUCAAGGCCAGGCGAGCAUGGGAAAGGAGCAGGGCCUGGGCGUCCCGCAGAGCCCCCGCUAAGGAACGCUCCCGCCUUGAGCGCAGCCACAGGCCUGCCCUGGCCACAAGGAUGGGGUCGCUCCGCAGACACUGGUGACCAGUGGAAGCAUGACCAGGAGGCGAUUACCUUCUAAUCACUAAUAACUUUAUUUUUAGGUAACACCACGGAGGACGCCAUGAGACCGAAGGCCGUUGGGUAACCGCCCCUUCUGCUCGCGCUGCGCCCUCUCCCUGCCCCGAACCACCGGCAACUGAUGCUGGGAGCGAGCGGUUGAGGGCGGCCGGCUGCGCGCUGGAACCCCGCCCACCUCGAGGCUCGUGCGCAGGCGCACGGGACAGGCCUGGAGCCCGCCCUGGGAGGGGCCCGCAGGAGAUGGGGAAAUGGAGGGACGCGGCACCUGGGCGCUUCCUGGGACCAGGCGACGCCUUCUCCUUGGAACCUCCAAGACCCGUCCCUCCUAGAAACGAGCGCGUCUGACCGGGCGCGGUGGCUCACACCUGUAAUCCCAGCACUUUGGGAGGCCGAGGUGGGUGGAUCACCUGAGGUCAGGAGUUCGAGACCAGCCUGGCCAACAUGGUGCAAUCCCGUCUCCACCAAAAAUACAAAAAUUAGCCGGGCGUGGUGGCGCACACUUGUAGUCCCAGCUAUUCGGGAGGCUGAGGCAGAAGAAUUGCGUGAACCCGGGAGGCGGAGGCUGCAGUGAGAGAAGAUCACACCACUGCACUUCAAGGCCGGAGCGAGACUCCGUCUCAAAAAAACAAAAAACAAAACCAAAAAAAAAAAAAAACCAAAAAAAAAGCUAGUAAGCAACUCACUGACUUGAGUUUGUGAUAGCUUCAGAAGAAACUUUCAUCAUCAGAUCUUUUCUGCUCAUUUGCAGGAUUCCUAUUGUCUGUCAUCCACGUGAUGACACUGAAGAGCCUUCACAUCCAGGCCGACCUGGAGCCUUAAGUGCAGAGACUGAGAGCUCUGCAAGACACAGCAUGGAGCCGCCAUUCCUCUACUGUUCCGUGACUGGGUGGAAAAGCAUGUGUCCUCUGAACAGGGGAUCCAAGCCCUGAGAUGUUCUUUCUCAGCAGUCAGUGUGGCCCAGGACAUUGUGUGGGCAUGCUCAGAGAGCAGGGGCCAGAGGGCUUUUAGCCACCACCUCCCAUGGCCAGUCUUCACAAAUUACCUUUGGCUAAUUUGAUUGUCUCUCCUCCUGGGGUCUGGGACUUCAAACAUGUACAGAAGCGACUGCAGAAUUGAGACAAGACACUGUUCCACAGUAUGCUUUUUGUAUCAGUGGCUCAGAAAAAGACUCAUUGAAAUCCUGUAUCAAAGUCAUGUGUGAGAAUCUUGAGAAAGCAUCGGCUCACUGACUUGACACGGGAGGAAGCAACCAAGAAUUCUGCCCUUCUUCAGUGCCUGAGUGUGAUAUUUUGCCUCAACAGCCCUCUUAGAUGAAGUUACUGAUUGAAAAUCAUUUAUGUUUGCCCCAUGAUAAAAGCUCAAGUCCUCAG
rnacentral:lncRNA from 1 species